rnacentral:rRNA from 1 species
AGAGUUUGAUCAUGGCUCAGGAUGAACGUUGGCGGCGUGCCUAACACAUGCAAGUCGAGCGUGGCCUAGCUUGCUAGGUCUAGCGGCGGACGGCUGAGUAAUGCACAGGAACGUACCCGGAAGUGGGGGAUAGCCCAUCGAAAGAUGGGGUAAUACCGCAUGUGAUCGCAAGAUCAAAGCCGCAAGGCGCUACCGGAGCGGCCUGUGUCCUAUCAGGUAGUUGGUGGGGUAAUUGCCUACCAAGCCGAUGACGGGUAGCUGGUCUGAGAGGAUGAUCAGCCAGAUCGGGACUGAGACACGGCCCGAACUCCUACGGGAGGCAGCAGUUGGGAAUCUUGCGCAAUGGACGAAAGUCUGACGCAGCGACGCCGCGUGGAGGAUGAAGGCCUUCGGGUCGUAAACUCCUUUUGCUAGGGAGUACACACGAAAGUACCUAGCGAAUAAGCACCGGCUAACUCCGUGCCAGCAGCCGCGGUAAUACGGAGGGUGCAAACGUUAUCCGGAAUCACUGGGCGUAAAGCGCGUGUAGGUGGUUUGGUAAGUGAGCGAUUAAAGACUGGUGCUCAACGCCAGGAGUGUUGCUUAAACUACCAGACUUGAAGAUGGCAGGGGCAAGCGGAACUUUGAGUGUAGGAGUGAAAUCCGUAGAUAUUCAAAGGAACACCAAUGGCGAAGGCAGCUUGCUGGGCCUUUCUUGACACUGAGACGCGAAAGCGUGGGUAGCAAACGGGAUUAGAUACCCCAGUAGUCC